AUCUUACAUAAGGAUAUAAGAGCAGAUGAAGUAGGUCAUAGCAAAGAUCUAUAUAGCUCGAUAUCUCUCAGGAGUGACAAGCAAUGGACAUUACUGGAAACUGGCUGCCUGGGACUCCCCACUUGUGGCUGAAGUUGGAUUUUCCCUUGAAGGGGGAAGUUUUCCGGAGCAGAAGGAACUCACAGAGAAAUGAAUAUAAGUCUCCAGCUAAACUGAGCAUUGAGCAGAUUCCCCAAGGGACUAACAGAGGGACAAUGAAUUUCUUCCCUUGAACUACCUCUUCUAUGAACACUGUGUUCACACAACAGAAAAAAAAAGAAAGAAAAAGAAAAUUAAAAAAGAAAAACAAAGCAAACACUGAAAAGUAUGAACAAGAGCAUCAGAGGCAGAUACGAAAGCAGGGAUAAAGAGUAUCAGCUAUGCACACUUCUUUUGGCUGAUGCACCAGCUGAUCUCAGUAAGACUAAGGAGAAUCAAAGGACAAUGUUCUGCUCUACCACUCCUAAGAAAUAGAGAGAACAGCUGAAACUCUCAGGAAAGCUGGAAGAGAGAAGUUGGGCCAGGCAAGGAUUUUCAGAUCUAGUCCAGAAUGUUUCUGGUGGAGGUAACCCAGAACAGGACAGGAUAUGCAAAUCCAACUGGACAUGGAAAGAGUCAGUCUGUGCCUGCAGAUACAGCUUUCCUGGUAAUUACACUCCUGGGCAAGCACUGCCCUACAAUUUUGUCUGGUUAUAACGCAUGAACACAGUAUUCCUUUCUAAAAAGGCAAUAGCAGUUUGACCUCAAUAGAACCAUGAAAAUUGAUGUGCAUAAGGUACUAGACAUCCUUCUAACACACUUAAUGUAACCCCAUUGAAAUAUCAAGGAGAGUGGUGCGAUAAUAUCUUCCUUCAGUGCUGUUUUUCCUCUAACAUCUACUGCAUUGCGAACUUCCCCUUCUGUUCUGCUCUAUACUAUAUUUUGUCUUCAUAAUCCACAAACUUUCUAUUCUCCAUAUUCUUCUUCUUUCAUUUUGGUUUAGUGAUUCACCCUGCAUCUUCUUCAGGGUCAAGAAUUUCACAUGAUAUGAUGAGUGUGAAAUGUGGGGGCAUUUACAGGAACCUGGAAGCGUUUCUAUAAGCAUUCCUAUCAAGAAAGGAGCUUCAUAAGUCAGAAUUUGGGGUUUUUUUUCAGAUAAAGUAGUUUCAUGGAUUGUCUUCAGUGGUUUCCCUUUGUAUAAAAAAAGAAACUAAAAAAUAUUCAUUAUUGUUUCAUGAUGGCAUGAUCUGAACAGUUUCAGACCAAUCUUUAAUUAGCUCAACUCUUUUUGUAUCUGAUAGUGACAUCUUUUGUUUAUGUUGAAGUAGUGCAACUAACAUUCUUUUCUGUGGAUAGUUUCUUUGAAGGGGGAAUUUUGUGUCUGCAAUUCAACAGACACACAUUAUAUAGUAUGUAUUCUUUAAUUCACAAGUCCACUUAUGUCUUUGUCUUGUGUUAGGGAUGAAAUGAAGAUUCAGACAAGCACUGAAAUUUGUAUCUGGACUUGUAACAGAAUCAGACGUAGAAGUUUCUCACUUGACAUCCCACUUCCUUCCCAUAUCUCUACACUGCAUCUUGAGAUAAAAAAAAAAAGUUUAUACUAAAUCCUUAUAUCUCAGACACUAAUUCAUGCUAAAUUAUUGCUUUCUCCUCCUAUUUUAAGAAGACAUGAGUUAGACAGAGCCAUAGGAAAAGAUAUGUAUUAAUAGUUUCCUGUGGGUGUCUAUCAAUAUAUCUUGUCAUAAUCUAAAUCAGAGACCAAUUUUUAUGUGAAACAUACGAAAAUGGAAAAAAAUUGAAAACACGGAAGACUGUAUUUCAAUUCUGAUAUUCUCUUUUCUUGCACAUACAGAUAUUUUAACAGUAGCUUCAUUACCAAAAAGUGAGCAUUAAAAAAAAAAACCAAUAAGGCAGAAAUUGGAGUUUCAUUUCAAGACUGGACAUGAUUUUACUCACAGUAGUGUUGCCUGAGGAAACUUGGGUCCAAAUUUAAGCCUUCAAAGAACACAAUGCUCUCCUUCUCCUCAGUUUGAUGAAAUAAGCAGUGAGAAAACAAUGCAAUGAAAUAUUGAGAUUAACGGAAUAAGUACUCUACUGCAAAGGAACACUGCCCUAAUUGAUAUUAGGCAGUUCGUUACCUGUCAGGCUCUAGCUAACACCUCAAAAGUCUCUGUUUAUUCCUAAGAACUGGCAGAUACCUCAAUUCCAAUGUACAUUACUUCAGAAUAUAUCUGCCAGUUCUUAGGAAUAAGCAGAUUUUCAUACUUCAGAUGGGUGAGUCCUUCUUUGAUCAGCCACACUGUGUUAGUUACUUGGGGAACAAUUGGAAAGUUAGCCAGCAUCUUCACCACUUGAACAAACUGACAGAAAUAGGGACAGGUUUAGUCAAAAGCACAGCUUCCACACAGACCUCCAUGUGGAAGGCUAACACCUUGCAAAUUGAGCCAAUAGAAGAAACAGUUGCCUUCUCCACAUCCCAGAGCAGGAGUGUAGGAUCUCCCGAUGCGACUGUGUGAAGCUUUUGUACCCACAACCAAAGCACAGAAAAUCUUGUCUGCUCUGUGCUUAAUUAAGAAAAGGGACUCCCUUGCAAUUCUAUCUGCAGCUCGGUUCUCCUCCGAAAUCUUUUCUCUGUGGGAGUAGUGAGAUGAACCAGAAAGCUAGCUUUGCUCCUGAAAGUGCCAGAUGGGAAUUUCAGAGAAAGCUUGCCAUACACUGUGAGCCACAGAGAACAACUUUCCAGGAAAAGUCCCAGAAAUCACCAGUAGGAAAAAAAGCCUGUAGAGAAGUCUAGUCAUAAUCUUUUCUGAGCAAGAUUGGCCUCACUUCAGGUAUCACUGAGCAUUCACUCCCUCGCAUCCCUAAAAUAUUGCUAGGAAUGACCAAGUAUCAGACACAGACAAAGAUAUCCAAGCAUUUUACCAUGUUCCAAAACCGGUAUGAUACGUGGAAGAAAGCACAGCAUAAAGGUAUAAAGAUGACCUCAAAUUUGUUGCUCUGGUAAAAUAUCCAAAACUAUUCAAUCUGUCUUCUGCAGUAGACUUCUGCUGAACUGUGUUGAGCACCUUCCAACCCCUCUGUGCUCAGUCAAGCACAGUCAAAAGAUUGCAAGAACAGUCUCUUUUUCCCAGGAGUACAGUAAGUUAAUUAUAUUAAACAUGGGAAGGUGCUGUCCUACUAGAGUGACUCAGACAUCAUACAACAAAGAAAAUGUUGUUCACGACUACUUAUGUGCACUUUAAGAAGAGGGGGUGGGUAAAGGGGCAGAGGGACUCGCCUAGGUUGCAGAGCAAGUGGUAACAUUUAGGAGUUUUCUGGAAUUAAUAACCUAAUCUUGGCCUUUCAGCUCCAGAGAACACAUACAAGACUUUUAUCAUCUUUGUUGCCUAUUGCCUCUCACUUGCAGAGGAUGUGGGUGAUGUGGGCUACCAGAAAAUGUUGGUAGAAUAUGUUUCUUUUGCUUGAAUAUGUUCCUUUUGCUUGAGAGCACAUUUCACAGCUUAACUAACUGUUCAUUAAUAAUUUCAUACCGUAGCCUUGGGCCCUGUGAGGAUGGGAGAUAUCAAGCAAGCCAAAAUGAAAGCACAGUGUCGGAUCCUGCACUACUGUCUCUGAGUCAACCUUCCUUCAGGGACAAUAAGUCACUAAAAGAUAAGGCUGGUACAUAAACAAUGGAUAUGGUUGAUGGAUUUUACAAAAUAUUUUGUUUCAAUAUAAAUUACUAGUAUUUUAUUGUAGGUUUCAUCCCAUGCUUUAUGCCUCCAAAUAAUUCUAAAAUUCUUUCAACCACAAAUCAGUUUCUUAGUAGGUAAGUCUUCUAACUUUUGUCCUGUUUUCUCAGUACGGAGCUAUUUUAAACCAGAGCUGGUCAUGUUUCAAGAAAGCCGAACUUUACACUCAUCAGCAAACCUUAAACACAUUCCUUUACCAGGAAACACCUUGCUCAUCAUGUAAAGCUCUUCUACAUUAAGAAGAAGAAGGCACCUUUGGUGCAGACAUCAUGAUGUAGCAAUUCAUAUUUCUGAGGCAAAACGCUGGCUUCGGUAUCUUCUUAGAAAUUAACUACAAAAUUGCAAAACACCUGUGGUCAAUUGGCUGCCUACUGGAAGAGUUGAAAUAGAAUCCUACUGUCCCAACCAUGCUGGCCCUUAUGAGCAUCUUUGGAUAACAUAGAAAGAGUAAAAUUAGAACAAUAUGGCUUCAUUCAGUUUCUGAAGAAUUAAAGAGGUAUGCAUAAGGCCUGGAAAGUGUAGGGAGAAUGGGCAAAUGGCCUCAUUUUGUCUUUGUCAAAGCCCAGGAAAGUGAGCCAGAUACUACUGAAGGGAUAGGUGUACUCAGGGAGGCAGAAAUCGUAAGGGAAACAGUUGUGUUCAUCAUUCUUCUGUUGCCUCAGGAAUAUCUAAAUCUUUCCUAAGAUCCACUAUAUCCUACCUCCUAAUUCUUCUGUCUUCUACUUCUACCCAGCCUUGACAUCUUUGGGUACGCACUGGCACUGGGCUGGUUCUGACCAACAUACUGCCUUAGUAAGUCACCAGCACGAGCACAGUGAUACUGCUCACAUGGGAAACAUUCUGAGUCACCAACAAGGGAAGAGUUUUCUGGACAGUCAGGGAAACGAAACAAGGGCCAAUUGCAGAAUACAGAGACGAAGAAACUAAGGCUUAAACAGCUCCUGGAGAAAGGGAGGCCCACAGGCUAGGUAGUACUUUCAUCACUCAUAAUAUAGUUUCAUUAUGUAUGUGGUUCCUUUGCUUUCUCUCAUAACUUCCUCUUCAAAAGCUGGUGUAAUACACGUGCAAAGAUAUCAUGUUACUAUUGCACUGGGAGCAGCCUCUACAUACCUAUCAGAGUCCCCAGUAUCCUUCUUAAUCUCUCCAUGCAGACUCCACUAUUUUUGUGCACUUUAUAAGUGAGCUCAAAGUGUCUUCUCUCCCAGCUCCUUCAGCAUAACCCCCAGCCAGGUGAGUUUAAAGAAAAUCAAGCCCUAAAGUAUGCAACAGAACUUAGAUACUGCUAGAGCAGCCCAUCGGAGGAAGGAAGGAAGCAUGGGACUUUUAAACAACUUCUCCUUUUCACAAGACCUCCCUGUCAGGGCUCUCACAGGUCAGCACUGUCAAAUGUGCAGCUGCAUCGGGCAGCAGUCUCAUGCAAUUCAUUCACAACAGACCCUUUUCAAACUCAUGGAUUCAGUGUUAAUUUGGGUACCUUGGAAAGCUUGUUGCUGAGGGCUUAUAACCUGUUGUUUUUUGGGUUUUGUUUUUUGGGGUUUUUUUGGUUUUUUUUUUUUAGAAUUUACAUGGAAAAUACACUAUGUAACAGAGCUGAGCUCAGCUCCUCAGCAGAAGAUCUUAAUAGAAGCAGUGUAUGACAUGUUGUGAAUUGGUUUGGUUUACUGUGCACUGUAAUGCAUACUACUACCAUGAGAUUUAAUAUUAUUUAUCAGGAUUAUUAGGAUGUUCCAGGGAUCAAACUCUGCAGCAUCAGAGAUUGGCCAAGUACCCCAUCUGAAGUUCUGCUGCUACAUUAAUGAUAGAUUUACCAAUAUUGGAGGCUUAAACCCCCCAGAAGAUCAGCUCAUCCCUCCACAUUUCAAGUUACAAAGAUGACAAUACAGAUAUGAGAACUUUUCUGAACGGGUCUUCGUUUCCAAGGAAGAGUUUUGGAAUACAAACACUGAAACAUAAUUAAAUAAAUCCUCAUUAAAAAAUGGAACAAAA